ensembl:lncRNA
CGCCCCUCCUCCACAGGCGCCGCCUCCCGGGCCCACCCCCACCCCCACACAGACCCUGGUCGGUUAAAUCUCCCCCCGGAUAACAGGCCCGUCUUGGGGACCCCGCAGACGUCCCCCAACUCUCGAGACUCCUCCCGGGGCCCCUCUUCCCCGAUCCCCACGCCGACCCCGGACACGCGGGCGGGUCUAGAUGCCGGGGGCCCAGGGAAGGAAGAACCCCGCCCCCCUCCCCAGAUCACACAGCAGCCGGGUCUCCCCUUUACCCCAACUCCCGGCCGCAAGGCCACCUGGGCGCUGCGGUGCCCCCGCGGGUCAGUCAACCCGCUCUGGACCCUCGGACUAGUCCCUUCUCCCUUCCUCCCACCCUGCUGGGCCUUUGUCGGCCAUCUUGAGAGGAUGGGAGGGAGCGCGGAGGAGCCAAGCACGUAUAGCUAUUUGAUGUUGGAAGUGUGAAAGUGAGGUGGGCUCAGUGACCAGGCAAGCCUCAUGUAAAUGAGUGGCAGGAACUCCUUGACCUUCUGGCACAAGCAUCCAAAACUGGGUUCCAGUCAGUUGGUGCAAGAAGAUCUCUGAAGAGGGCCCGUCGCUUCUGGGGUUUUGGUAAAAGGAGGAUCUGGAGUUUGUUCCUUCUGUUAAAAUGCAGGAUCCCUGUGGUGAUGGAGAUGUUCUGUAUCUUUGUGCCAACAUCAGUAUCCGGCUUGGGAGAUUUCACUCUAGCUUUGCAAGAUUGGAUCUGUGCACAGAAAGAAACUCGAAAAAGAGUACAGUAGUCUCUCUCUAUGAUUUUUUACAAGUGCAAAUAAAUCUACAAUUAUCUCAAA